UUGUGUAUAAAACAAACGAUAAACUCUUGUGUUCAGCAAUCUAAUUGUUUCACGUACUCUUGUGCUAUAGUAUAGUAUAGUAUUAUACAAUAUUAUCAUCAUGCGUGUUAUUUUGUGCAUUGCAAUGGUCUUGACCACUGUUGUGACUAUCUCGGGACAAAGGAGUGGGUGGCCUUGGUCACGAUAUGGAGGGAUGCGAAAUCCAAGAUGCAUCAGUUGUUCAGAGGUAAAAGAGGCUCAUCUGUGUGAAUCCUGCUGCAAAAUGAAUGUGUGUCUACCUAACCCAUGUAAGAAUAAUGGAACGUGUUCACCAGUUGAUAACAGUUACAGCUGUAAUUGUGCUAUAGGAUAUUUAGGAAAAAACUGUGACGUGAAUCUGUGUCUACCCGACCCAUGUAAAAAUGGUGGUACUUGUUCACCAGUUGAUAACGGUUACAGCUGUAAUUGUCCUACAGGAUAUUUAGGAGAAAACUGUGAUGUGAAUCUGUGUCUACCCGACCCAUGUAAAAAUGGUGGUACUUGUUCACCAGUUGAUAACGGUUACAGCUGUAAUUGUCCUACAGGAUAUUUAGGAGAAAACUGUGAUGUGAAUCUGUGUCUACCCGACCCAUGUAAAAAUGGUGGUACUUGUUCACCAGUUGAUAACGGUUACAGCUGUAAUUGUCCUACAGGAUAUUUAGGAGAAAACUGUGAUGGUAAGGUACUUACAUUCAUUAUUGUCACAAUAAUUUAGCAUGCUUUGAUUAACAAGCAGACAAGUUCAUUUGUGGAUGCUCUAGAGGCUAAAGUUAAUAUCCGAUUGAGUAUAAAUUUAUACACAGUGUUUGAGGUCAUGAGACGAAGAUUCCUAUUGAUUUUUAACGAUUUCCGAUAAUUACUGCCAAAGUUAUGGCCCUUGAUCACUUUGCAAAAUCUUGUGACGCUCUAAAGGCUAAAGUUAUCAUCCGAUUGACUUCAGAUUGAUAUACAGAGUUUAAGAUCUUGAGACGAACAAGUAUAUUGAUUUUCAAUGAAUUUUUAUGACUUGAACAGUUAAAUCCAUGAUAUUAAAAGCUUUGCAUACAAAACGUUAGCAUGGGGCAGAACUUUAUAAAAACCAAACAAAUUAUAAUAGUUUUCUGAUUGUACGUCGUGAAUUGUUGCUCUUAAAUCAGAUUUUAGUGUAUUAUAAAUGUUUCAUUACCGAAAAAAGUAAAAAUAUGCGACAACCCUUGUUGACUGCCAGGACGAUUUAGUUGCUGUGGGCGUAUGUUUUCUUGCCUGGCUACCUAUCUUUAAUUCUAGUGAAUCUGUGUCUACCCGACCCAUGUAAAAAUGGUGGUACUUGUUCACCAGUUGAUAACGGUUACAGCUGUAAUUGUCCUACAGGAUAUUUAGGAGAAAACUGUGAUGUGAAUCUGUGUCUACCCGACCCAUGUAAAAAUGGUGGUACUUGUUCACCAGUUGAUAACGGUUACAGCUGUAAUUGUCCUACAGGAUAUUUAGGAGAAAACUGUGAUGUUAACCCAUGUGAUAUCAACAACCCCUGUUUAAAUGAUGGUACGUGUUAUCCAUCAGAAGGUGGCGUGAGUUGCAGCUGUCCUCUUGGAUUUGAAGGGUCCUUUUGUCAAGAAGAUUUAUGUGACCCGAGUCCUUGUACCGAGAUCGGGGAUACAUGUUUUCGUGUUGAUGGUGGAUUUGAAUGUCGAUGUAUUUAUAUUGUAAAUGAUGAAAUUAUAACAUCACCGAAUUAUCCACUUGAAUAUCCAAACAACUUCGCCAUUUGCUAUCUUGUAAUUGGCCGACCUGAACAGAAUAUCACCUUAACUCUUGGCGGACAAUUUAACAUUGAGUUCACUGAUGGGUUUAUAGUGAUUAGUACAUGCCGGCGCGAACUAUCUACAACAUGUAUUAAAGAUUAUCUAACGCUUCAGGGAGUAAGUUAUUGUGGUGGGGCACCGCCAGACCCUAUCAUAGUACCAACUGGUGAAAACACCACCGUGAGAUUCGAAACAGAUUCCAUCUUUACAUGCCUUGGUUUUAACCUGAGCAUUACCUACACAGAUGUAUAAAGCCAAGACAUCAAGAGAUGUAUACAUUUUGAGACAUCAAGAAUAAGUCGUGUUAUAGCCAUCAAUGUAAUAACUAUAUCCAAAUUAAUCUAAAUUCAUUUAAAUAACAAAACUAAAUCCAUUCUAGAAACUGACCAAUAACCUAAAUAAACAAUUCUUACUGUAA